UAGGGAAUCUUCGGCAAUGGACGAAAGUCUGACCGAGCAACGCCGCGUGAGUGAAGAAGGUUUUCGGAUCGUAAAACUCUGUUGUUAGAGAAGAACAAGGACGUUAGUAACUGAACGUCCCCUGACGGUAUCUAACCAGACAGCCACGGCUAACUACGUGCCAGCAGCCGCGGUAAUACGUAGGUGGCAAGCGUUGUCCUGAUUUAUUGGGCGUAAAGCGAGCGCAGGCGGUUUCUUAAGUCUGAUGUGAAAGCCCCCGGCUCAACCGGGGAGGGUCAUUGGAAACUGGGAGACUUGAGUGCAGAAGAGGAGAGUGGAAUUCCAUGUGUAGCGGUGAAAUGCGUAGAUAUAUGGAGGAACACCAGUGGCGAAGGCGGCUCUCUGGUCUGUAACUGACGCUGAGGCUCGAAAGCGUGGGGAGCAAACAGG
rnacentral:rRNA from 1 species